rnacentral:rRNA from 1 species
UACGAAGGGGGCUAGCGUUGCUCGGAAUGACUGGGCGUAAAGGCGCGUAGGCGGCACUGUUAGUCAGGCGUGAAAGUCCUGGGCUCAACCUGGGAACUGCGCUUGAUACGGCAGAGCUAGAGGAUGGAAGAGGCUCGCGGAAUUCCCAGUGUAGAGGUGAAAUUCGUAGAUAUUGGGAAGAACACCGGAUGGCGAAGGCGAAUCCCCUGGACCUGUACUGACGC